rnacentral:rRNA from 1 species
AAUCAACGCUGGCGGCGUGCCUAACACAUGCAAGUCGAACGCGAAAGCCCGCAAGGGUAAGUAGAGUGGCGCACGGGUGAGUAACACGUGGACAACCUGCCUUCGAGUGGGGAAUAACCUUCCGAAAGGAGGGCUAAUACCGCAUAACACCUCGGGACACAAGUUCUGGGGUUGAAAAGAGCAAUUUGCUUGAAGAGGGGUCCGCGCCUGAUUAGCUAGUUGGUGAGGUAACGGCUCACCAAGGCUUCGAUCAGUAGCCGUCCUGAGAGGGAGCACGGCCACACUGGAACUGAGACACGGUCCAGACUCCUACGGGAGGCAGCAGUGGGGAA